AUUGAACGCUGGCGGCAUGCUUUACACAUGCAAGUCGAACGGUAACAGGGUGCCUGCACCGCUGACGAGUGGCGAACGGGUGAGUAAUGCGUCGGAACGUGCCGAGUAGUGGGGGAUAACGCAUCGAAAGGUGUGCUAAUACCGCAUACGUACUGAGGUAGAAAGUGGGGGACCUUCGGGCCUCACGCUAUUCGAGCGGCCGACGUCUGAUUAGCUAGUUGGUGAGGUAAAGGCUCACCAAGGCGACGAUCAGUAGCGGGUCUGAGAGGAUGAUCCGCCACACUGGGACUGAGACACGGCCCAGACUCCUACGGGAGGCAGCAGUGGGGAAUUUUGGACAAUGGACGCAAGCCUGAUCCAGCCAUGCCGCGUGUCUGAAGAAGGCCUUCGGGUUGUAAAGGACUUUUGUCCGGGAGCAAAUACCCAGUGCUAAUAACGCUGGGGGCUGAGAGUACCGGAAGAAUAAGCACCGGCUAACUACGUGCCAGCAGCCGCAGUAAUAC
rnacentral:rRNA from 1 species